GACGAACGCUGGCGGCGUGCUUAACACAUGCAAGUCGAACGGAAAGGCCCUGCUUUUGUGGGGUGCUCGAGUGGCGAACGGGUGAGUAACACGUGAGUAACCUGCCCUUGACUUUGGGAUAACUUCAGGAAACUGGGGCUAAUACCGGAUAGGAGCUCCUGCUGCAUGGUGGGGGUUGGAAAGUUUCGGCGGUUGGGGAUGGACUCGCGGCUUAUCAGCUUGUUGGUGGGGUAGUGGCUUACCAAGGCUUUGACGGGUAGCCGGCCUGAGAGGGUGACCGGACACAUUGGGACGGAGAUAAGGCCCAGACUACUACGGGAGGCAGAAGUGGGGAAUAUUGCACAAUGGGCGGAAGCCUGAUGCAGCAACGCCGCGUGCGGGAUGACGGCCUUCGGGUUGUAAACCGCUUUCGCCUGUGACGAAGCGUGAGUGACGGUAAUGGGUAAAGAAGCACCGGCUAACUACGUG
rnacentral:rRNA from 1 species